rnacentral:rRNA from 1 species
UCGAACGCGUUGGCCCAAUUGAUUGAUGGUGCUUGCACCUGAUUGAUUCUUGUCGCCAACGAGUGGCGGACGGGUGAGUAACACGUACGUAACCUGCCCAGAAGCGGGGGACAACAUUUGGAAACAGAUGCUAAUACCGCAUAACAACGUUGUUCGCAUGAACAACGCUUAAAAGAUGGCUUCUCGCUAUCACUUCUGGAUGGACCUGCGGUGCAUUAGCUUGUUGGUGGGGUAACGGCCUACCAAGGCGAUGAUGCAUAGCCGAGUUGAGAGACUGAUCGGCCACAAUGGGACUGAGACACGGCCCAUACUCCUACGGGAGGCAGCAGUAGGGAAUCUUCCACAAUGGGCGCAAGCCUGAUGGAGCAACACCGCGUGAGUGAAGAAGGGCUUCGGCUCGUAAAGCUCUGUUGUUAAAGAAGAACACGUAUGAGAGUAACUGUUCAUACGUUGACGGUAUUUAACCAGAAAGUCACGGCUAACUACGUGCCAGCAGCCGCGGUAAUACGUAGGUGGCAAGCGUUAUCCGGAUUUAUUGGGCGUAAAGAGAGUGCAGGCGGUUUUCUAAGUCUGAUGUGAAAGCCUUCGGCUUAACCGGAGAAGUGCAUCGGAAACUGGAUAACUUGAGUGCGGAAGAGGGUAGUGGAACUCCAUGUGUAGCGGUGGAAUGCGUAGAUAUAUGGAAGAACACCAGUGGCGAAGGCGGCUACCUGGUCUGCAACUGACGCUGAGACUCGAAAGCAUGGGUAGCGAACAGGAUUAGAUACCCUGGUAGUCCAUGCC